rnacentral:misc_RNA from 1 species
GAGGGAGAAUGCUUGGGCAUUUGAAUGAAGCCGGCCAAUGUUUUCAUAUUCUAGUGAUGGAGUUGGGAAUAUAUAGUAGUAGAUUUCUUUCAGCAAUCGUUAUGUAGUAGUAAAUAUGUUCUUAAAUGUUUGCUUCUGAACCUUUAGAUAUUGUUCUUCCUAACUUUUGCAGUAAAACUUUGUUCUUCAGUGAAGACGAGUUGAUC